rnacentral:rRNA from 1 species
AGCGAACGCUGGCGGCAGGCUUAACACAUGCAAGUCGAGCGGGCACUUCGGUGUCAGUGGCAGACGGGUGAGUAACACGUGGGAACGUACCCUUCGGUUCGGAAUAACGCUGGGAAACUAGCGCUAAUACCGGAUACGCCCUUUUGGGGAAAGGUUUACUGCCGAAGGAUCGGCCCGCGUCUGAUUAGCUAGUUGGUGGGGUAAUGGCCUACCAAGGCGACGAUCAGUAGCUGGUCUGAGAGGAUGAUCAGCCACACUGGGACUGAGACACGGCCCAGACUCCUACGGGAGGCAGCAGUGGGGAAUAUUGGACAAUGGGCGCAAGCCUGAUCCAGCCAUGCCGCGUGAGUGAUGAAGGCCUUAGGGUUGUAAAGCUCUUUUGUCCGGGACGAUAAUGACGGUACCGGAAGAAUAAGCCCCGGCUAACUUCGUG